CACUGGGGGGGCGCUGGGGGGGCACUGGGAGGCGCUGGGGGCCGCUGGGGGGGCGCCGGGUGUCCCCGAGGGUCUCCUCGUGGUCACCAGCAGCCCUGUGUUUGUCGCUGAGGUCCCUUGGGGGCCCCUGGGGGUCCCCGUGUCCCCAGGGGUGUCCCCGAGGGUGUCCCCACACACAGGGGUGCCCCCAAGGGUGCCGGGGUGCCCCUUUUGGGUGGCCCCAUGUCCCCAGGGGUGUCCCCAAGGGUGUCCCCGUGCGCUAGGGUGCCCCUGUCGGGUGUCCCCGAGGGUGUCCCAGGGGUGUCCUGAGGGUGCCCCUGAGUCCCCAAGGGUGUCCCCGUGUCCCCUGGGGUGUCCCUGAGGGUGUCCCAGGGGUGCCCGUGCUGGGUGUCCCCACACACAGGGGUGUCCCCGAGGGUGUCCCAGGGGUGUCCUGAGGGUGUCCCUGUGUCCCCAAGGGUGGUGCCUGGGUGUCCCCGUGUCCCCAGGGGUGUCCCCGAGGGUGCCUGGGUGCCUGUGCCGGGUGUCCCCACACACAGGGGGGUGUCCUGAGGGUGUCCCUGUGUCCCCAAGGGUGUCCCCAGG